AGUACAUGCAUGCAUGCGGGUGUUGAGAGUAAAAAUCCUUUGAUGCCGAGAAGCCACACAGACGUGGACCUGCUUCGCCAAGCAGAAAGUGGGAGAGUGACGUGAUGUCACGCAGAGCUUGGUCCUGCUGGAGAUUUGGGGAAGUCUCAAGGAAAAGAAACUGGUUCCAGACGUGAGAGUUUUUUUCCAAUAUGGCUUCCAGGAUCCCAGAGGACUCGACUUGUAGAGAGCAUCACUGGAGUCAAAAGGGCCGAGGUCCACGGCCAAGAACACACCUUGGUGCCAGAAGAAGUUCAUAAGUCUUGAAAUGCAGCAUCUCCUGAAAAUUUUGGAGGAAAAAAUUAGAAGAGAAGAUGAUAUUUCAUUUGUGGCUAAGAAUCUUUGACAACUUUCUUCUGUUUCCUCACUGCAGAGGAAUCGUCUCUCAAAGCCACUCAACUCAUGCUUGUCUCCUCUGAAACAUCAUUGGUUUUAGUCCAGAAUUGGCUAGUUGGAUGAAGCAUGCCUGAGCUGAGGCUUGAAUGCUUUUGAAAAUCAGCAAACACAACUACAGUCUCCAUGAUGUAAACCAAUCUGCUGGACUACUUCCAAUUUCAGCUCUACAGUUUCUCUUCCAAAGAUGUUUUUGCAAACAGCAGCUAGUGUUUAUUAAGUCAUCCCGGAUUUGACAGGAUACUGUCAAGUAUUCAGCGGACCACUACAUUUGAUGCUUCCAUUGCUUCAAGAACAGAGUCAGAGAAAAAAGACUUCAAAUGUUUGGCUUUUAAGGUGCAUUCCUGGUAUAAAUCAGAGAGAUUUUGGAGAAUACAUAUUGUAUCAGGGCUCUGUCUGGGUGCUAUCAUUGUCCACUGUUGUGCAAAGCCCAGACUGCAUCCUCUAGGAUAAGCACCUAAGUGAGGAGGAACCCUGGGCCCCUAGGUGAUGACCAUGC
rnacentral:lncRNA from 1 species